UACCCUUGACAUGUCUGGAAUCCUGAAGAGAUUUGGGAGUGCUCGCAAGAGAACCUGGACACAGGUGCUGCAUGGCCGUCGUCAGCUCGUGUCGUGAGAUGUUGGGUUAAGUCCCGCAACGAGCGCAACCCUUGUCAUCAGUUGCUACGAAAGGGCACUCUGAUGAGACUGCCGGUGACAAACCGGAGGAAGGUGGGGAUGACGUCAGGUCCUCAUGGCCCUUAUGGGUAGGGCUACACACGUCAUACAAUGGCCGGUACAGAGGGCAGCCAACCCGCGAGGGGGAGCCAAUCCCAGAAAACCGGUCGUAGUCCGGAUCGCAGUCUGCAACUCGACUGCGUGAAGUCGGAAUCGCUAGUAAUCGCGGAUCAGCUUGCCGCGG
rnacentral:rRNA from 1 species